rnacentral:rRNA from 1 species
GGGUCAGUAGGUUGGUCGUGCCACCGGUACGUACUGGUCUCACUGAUUCCUCCUUCCUGAAGAACCGUAAUGCCAUUAAUUUGGUGUUGCGGGGAAACAGGACUGUUACUUUGAAAAAAUUAGAGUGUUUAAAGCAAGCUAACGCUUGAAUACAUUAGCAUGGAAUAAUGAAAUAGGACGAUCGAUCCUAUAUUGUUGGUUUCUGGGAUUGACGUA